rnacentral:rRNA from 1 species
GAUGAACGCUGGCGGCGUGCCUAAUACAUGCAAGUCGAGCGAACAGAUGAGGAGCUUGCUCCUCUGACGUUAGCGGCGGACGGGUGAGUAUCACGUGGAUAACCUACCUAUAAGACUGGGAUAACUUCGGGAAACCGGAGCUAAUACCGGAUAAUAUAUUGAACCGCAUGGUUCAAUAGUGAAAGACGGUUUUGCUGUCACUUAUAGAUGGAUCCGCGCCGCAUUAGCUAGUUGGUAAGGUAACGGCUUACCAAGGCGACGAUGCGUAGCCGACCUGAGAGGGUGAUCGGCCACACUGGAACUGAGACACGGUCCAGACUCCUACGGGAGGCAGCAGUAGGGAAUCUUCCGCAAUGGGCGAAAGCUUGACGGAGCAACGCCGCGUGAGUGAUGAAGGUCUUCGGAUCGUAAAACUCUGUUAUUAGGGAAGAACAAAUGUGUAAGUAACUAUGCACGUCUUGACGGUACCUAAUCAGAAAGCCACGGCUAACUACGUG